AGCAGUAGCGAGCCUUGAACCCAUUACAUCUGGGUUACAGGUCGGUGCGCUAAC
rnacentral:pre_miRNA from 1 species